CAGUAGCCGCGGUAAGACAGAGGGUGCAAACGUUGUUCGGACUUACUGGGCGUAAAGCGAGUGUAGGCGGUUCGGUAAGUCGGAUGUGAAAGCCCCGGGCUCAACCCGGGAAGUGCACUCGAUACUACCAAGCUAGAGUACUGGAGAGGUUGGUGGAAUUCUCGGUGUAGAGGUGAAAUUCGUAGAUAUCGAGAGGAACACCGGUGGCGAAGGCGGCCAACUGGACAGAUACUGACGCUGAGACUCGAAAGCGUGGGGAGCAAACAGGAUUAGAUACCCCAGUAGUCCCUGUCUCUUAUAC
rnacentral:rRNA from 1 species